UCUCAUCUCUAGGGGACAUCCGAAUGAGGCCUAAUAAUUGUUUGUUCCCUCAGAUUGAGUAGAGAAUGUGAGGGACAUGACUUCUUGGUGAGGCUACAAAAAUCACUUUUACCUACAAAAUCAAUACUAUGUUUGUUUGUAAGAAUUAUAGUAUUUGAGAUUGGACUAUUAAUUUUAAAUUUUUUAUUUAUUUUUAAAAUUAGACUUGUGAUUAUUAGUUUCGAGAUAAUAAAAUAACUUGAAAGGGG
rnacentral:lncRNA from 1 species